rnacentral:rRNA from 1 species
GACGAACGCUGGCGGCGUGCUUAACACAUGCAAGUCGAACGGAAAGGCCCUGCUUUUGUGGGGUGCUCGAGUGGCGAACGGGUGAGUAACACGUGAGUAGCCUGCCCUUGACUUUGGGAUAACUUCAGGAAACUGGGGCUAAUACCGGAUAGGAGCUCCUGCUGCAUGGUGGGGGUUGGAAAUUUUCGGCGGUUGGGGAUGGAUUCGCGGCUUAUCAGAUUGUUGGUGGGGUAGUUGCUUACCAAGGCUUUGACGGGUAGCCGGCCUGAGAGGGUGACCGGCCACAUUGGGACUGCGAUACGGCCCAGAAUCGUACGGGAGGCAGCAGUGGGGAAUAUUGCACAAUGGGCCGAAGCCUGAUGCAGCAACGCCGCGUGCGGGAUGACGGCCUUCGGGUUGUAAACCGCUUUAGCCUGUGACGAAGCGUGAGUGACGGUAAUGGGUAAAGAAGCACCGGCUAACUACGUG